UGGGGAAUAUUGCACAAUGGGCGCAAGCCUGAUGCAGCAACGCCGCGUGAAGGAUGAAGGCCUUCGGGUUGUAAACUUCUGUCCUAGGGGAAGAAACAAAUGACAUUACCCUUGGAGGAAGCCCCGGCUAACUACGUGCCAGCAGCCGCGGUAAUACGUAGGGGGCGAGCGUUAUCCGGAAUUAUUGGGCGUAAAGAGUGCGUAGGUGGCACCUUAAGCGCAGGGUUUAAGGCAGUGGCUCAACCAUUGUUCGCCUUGCGAACUGGGGUGCUUGAGUGCAGGAGGGGAAAGUGGAAUUCCUAGUGUAGCGGUGAAAUGCGUAGAUAUUAGGAGGAACACCAGUGGCGAAGGCGACUUUCUGGACUGUUACUGACACUGAGGCACGAAAGCGUGGGGAGCAAACAGGAUUAGAUACCCUGGUAGUCCACGCCGUAAACGAUGAGCACUAGGUGUCGGGGUCGCAAGACUUCGGUGCCGCAGUUAACGCAUUAAGUGCUCCGCCUGGGGAGUACGCACGCAAGUGUA
rnacentral:rRNA from 1 species